GCGGCGGCGGGCGGCCCCGGGACACUGCCGGCCCGAGCCCCGUCGCGGCUGCCACAGGGACCCGGCGCGCCCGCGUGCGGAGUUUCCUCGGCCGAGCGCCGCUUCCGGGACGCCCGGCGACGCGCGGGUCGCGGGAGUGGGGACCGGAGUGCCGGGGGCGCCCCUCGCGCGCCGCCUGCCCGGCGGGAGGCGUUACUGGCCGGCCCGUCGGGGCGCCGCGGUGCCGGGCCUGGGCGCCGGCCGUCCCCGGGGCCGGAGCGGGGACACGGCGCGUGGGGAGGGCGCUGUGCCGGGCACGCGCCUGGCCCGGGUUCGAUCCUCGGCCCCGCCUAGGGAGGGACCCCCGAGCACCCCCGGAGCUGCUCGAGCCUGAGCAUGGCCGGGUGUGGCCCCCCCAGCCAAAAAAAAGUGAAAAGGAGCCUUUCCAGUCACCCGGAGGGUGUCAGCCUAUCGACUGGCGUGGUUCAAAUAGCCCGAGCGCCUUUCCGCGCAGACAGAACUCGGUCCGCCCAGUGCUCAGGGCUUCCUCCUGGCUCUGUUCUCCGGCGUCUCCCCUGGCGGUGUUGUGGGGGACCCCAGGGGGUGCUGGACUAGAGCCCGGGUCCGCCACACCGUGCAAGGCGAGCGCCCUGAGGCUGUUCUGUCUCUGGCCCCCGAACUUUUAAAUAAAUGAUUAUUAAAUCGCCUGUCCUCGCCCGCCUGCAAAUUCAUCUCCAGAUCUAAUUGAGCGCUUGGGGAGUUAACUGCUGCCCCUGCCUGGUGCAGGAAUAAAAGGGGGCUGGGGAUUUCCUGUAAAUCUGGAUGAUCCUGGACUCUCUCCUUCCAGAAAUUCGCAACGAGUCCCAUGAUUAUCCUCAUAGAGUGGCCAAGUUUCCAGAAAACAGAAAUCGAAACAGAUACAGAGAUGUAAGCCCAUAUGAUCACAGUCGUGUUAAAUUGCAAAAUGCUGAAAAUGAUUAUAUAAAUGCCAGCUUAGUUGACAUAGAAGAGGCGCAGAGGAGUUACAUCUUAACACAGGGCCCACUUCCUAAUACAGGUUGUCAUUUCUGGCUGAUGGUUUGGCAGCAAAAGACCAAGGCAAUUGUCAUGCUAAACCGUGUUGUGGAAAAAGAAUCGGUUAAAUGUGCACAGUACUGGCCAACAAAAGACGACCACGAGAUGCUGUUUAAAGAAACAGGAUUCAGUGUGAAGUUCUUGUCAGAAGAUGUGAAGUCAUAUUAUACAGUACAUCUACUGCGAUUAGAAAAUAUCAAUACGGGCGAAACCAGAACAAUAUCUCACUUUCAUUACACUACCUGGCCAGAUUUUGGAGUCCCUGAAUCACCAGCUUCAUUUCUCAAUUUCCUGUUUAAAGUGAGAGAAUCUGGUUCCUUGAAUCCUGAGCAUGGGCCUGCGGUGAUCCACUGCAGUGCCGGCAUCGGGCGCUCUGGCACUUUUUCCCUGGUGGACACCUGUCUCGUUCUGAUGGAGAAAAGAAAUGAUAUUAACAUUAAACAACUGUUACUGAAUAUGAGAAAAUACCGAAUGGGACUUAUUCAGACUCCAGAUCAACUCAGAUUUUCUUAUAUGACAAUAAUAGAAGGAGCAAAAAUUUUAAAAGGAGAUUCAAAUAUACAGGAACAGUGGAAAGAACUCUCUAAAGAAGACUUAUUUCCUGCUUUAGAUCAUUCAUCAACCAAAAUUAUGACAGAGAAAUACAAUGGGAACAGAAUAGACCUAGAAGAAGAAAAACUGACAGAUGACAGAUAUAUAGAACUAUCCUCUAAAACGCAAGAUUCUCUGGAGGAGAGCAGCGACAGUGUUCUACGGAAACGUAUUCGAGAGGACAGAAAAGCUAACACGGCUCAGAAAGUGCAGCAGAUGAAACAGAGGCUAAAUGAGACUGAACGAAAAAGAAAAAGGUGGUUAUAUUGGCAACCUAUUUUUACUAAGAUAGGGUUUGUGUCAUUCGUUUUGGUUGGCGCUUUUGUCGGCUGGAUGCUGUGCUCUCGGCAAAAUACCUUACAAAUAAGCAAUUAAUUUUGCUUAACAAGCUUCCACACUGGUAGCUGGUAGUGUUGCGUUUAUCACAAGGGUUUGUUUUGUUAACAGACUCCUCGUCCCCCGAAGGGCACAGUAGCAUAGACACUAACCAGAGGAGUGUUCUAUUCAGUCCCUGCCCACCAUCUCAGGACGCUGCCCCAAGACUGUAAAUGGCUAUCAAAAAUAAAGACUUUAAUGCUUGUUUAAAACUGGUACAUUUUGUAGCUGUAUUCAUCAUACAUGUUAAGCCUAAUAUUUUGCCUGAGCAGAUUGAUAAAUCCUUUAUCACAAGGAUUUGUUUUUGGAGGAUAUCUGGAAAUGAACCUGCACUUGAUAUAAGCAAUAAAUAUUGUGGUUUAAUCUACAUUAUUACUGGAAAGAAAAUUAUCUUUAAUGUGUGUAAUGUAUAAUGUACUAUUAACAUGGGCAUCAACAUUUUAUAUUCUUUACCAUUUCAGAGUAUAUUUUAUAAAUACCUAUUUAAUCUUUUGUAGUUAAAUGUACUUUUUAAGAGCUCAAUUUGAAAACUCUGUUACCAUAAAAUAAUUGUAUGUUGACUCCGUUGUAAUGGAAACAUUUUCCUAUAGAGAAGUUUGAUAUGAGCAGAUAGAACUUGGAAUAAGUAAUUUUUAUUCUGUAUUUGCAUUUCUUUCAUGUUUUACAGUUUUCCCAAUUUUAAAAAGAAAAACAAAAAAAUUUUCCUAAAAAUAUAUAUGAAGGAAAAUUUUCCUUUACUGGCAUAGUUAGGUGGCAGUUAUUUAAGUCUUUAUAAAGAUGUUGGUUUAUUUCUGUAAAGCCCAUUAUUGAUAUUGUUUAUUUUUCAUGAAAAUCUCAAUGUACUCACCCUAAUUUACAACUGGGGUAAGUCAUGAUUUGGGAAUUAAUAAACAGCAUUUUACAAUCCAUGAUUUCAGUUUACUAGGCUGAAGUUUUGAAGUAAAAGAUUUUUCAAGUUCUUUCUACUUCAAUAAAUAGUAUGAUGACAUACAAACCUUACAUUGUCCCUUAACUUCUUAAUGGUACUUGAAAAUUUACUGAUUUUAACUGCUUGAGUGCUAACUUUCUUCAUAUCUCAACAUUCCAUCUGGUAUUAAUUUGCUUGACUUAAACUUCAAAUAGUUGUUAGAACUUUCAAUUGCAGGAAUAAUUAAAUCACAUUAUCUUGGUGGUUUUCAAACUAUGCUUGAAUUUUUAAGGGGUCACCAAGAGGUGGAUGGAAGGACUCCAAGCUACCAAUCAUUAUUUUAUUUUCACUCAGACCAUCUCUUAACUGUUUCAUACACUACGUAAGAUUCUUACAUAAGUCUUCAUUAUUUUAAGGGAGCAGUUACUCUUUAAAACAGUUUGAAACCCUUGGUAUAUUUUUAGUUGAUGUGAGUAGCCUUCUUGAAUGUAGGUGGUACUACUUAUUAAAUGAUUUUUAUAACUUGUGCCUGUGUCCUAAUUCAGUAUUAUUGUCUCCUGUUACCUUUAAUUGGAGAGGAGGUAAGAGGGACAUUUCCUUAUGUCUUGUCUGCGUUAAACCUUUGUAUAGGCACCAAGACCCUUCCAAUCCUUGUUUAAAGGCUUCUUUCCGGGCCAAGGAUGUGGCUCAAGGUAGAGCAUCUGCCUUGCGUGUGUGAGGCCCUGGAUUUGAUCCCCGGUACCCACUCCUACCAAAAAAAAAAGAAAAGAAGAAGAAGAAGAAAUAAUCUUUCUUUCCAGUUUACCCUGGCUUGUCUUUGCUAAAACCCGCUUUGUUACUCCAUAAGUCAAGUAUGCAUAGGACAUACUAAAUUUCAAUUGAAGAUAACCUUCCUUUAAACGAAAAGGUAAAGACUUCUUCCAGAAAACAUGCUGCUAAUGGUACACAUUACCAUUUGUGAGGCCAAGAUUGACAGACACCUAAAUAUUCAAUGAGACUUGAGAAUAUUCUGAAGCUAUAAAUUUUGAACCAUUGAUGUGCAAAGCAAGAUCUGAAGUCCACUCCGGAAACUAACGUGAGGCUUUGCUAAGCCAGUAGAUUGCCUCACAUUUGUCUGUUUACAAAGUAAACUUUACAUCCAGGGAAUGAAGAGCACCACCAGCAGAAGACUUUGCAGACUCUCAUAAUUUGAAGUUUUGUUAAGUUUUUUUUAAUGUGUGUAUGAAAUGUAGAAAGAUGUAAAAGAAAUAAAUGAGGAGAGACUACUUUGCAUUGUACUGCCAUUCCUACUGUAUUUUUAUACUUUUGGCAGCAUUAAAUAUUUUUAUGAAAUAGA